UUGAACGCUGGCGGCAUGCUUUACACAUGCCAGUCGAACGGCAGCGCGGGGCAACCUGGCGGCGAGUGGCGAACGGGUGAGUAAUAUAUCGGAACGUACCCAGAAGUGGGGGAUAACGUAGCGAAAGUUACGCUAAUACCGCAUACGAUCUACGGAUGAAAGUAGGGGACCGCAAGGCCUUAUGCUUUUGGAGCGGCCGAUAUCUGAUUAGCUAGUUGGUGAGGUAAAGGCUCACCAAGGCGACGAUCAGUAGCUGGUCUGAGAGGACGACCAGCCACACUGGAACUGAGACACGGUCCAGACUCCUACGGGAGGCAGCAGUGGGGAAUUUUGGACAAUGGGCGCAAGCCUGAUCCAGCAAUGCCGCGUGAGUGAAGAAGGCCUUCGGGUUGUAAAGCUCUUUUGUCAGGGAAGAAACGGUAGAGGCUAAUAUCCUUUGCUAAUGACGGUACCUGAAGAAUAAGCACCGGCUAACUACGUG
rnacentral:rRNA from 1 species